rnacentral:lncRNA from 1 species
UUUUUUUUUUUUUUUUGUAAACUAAACAAAAUGUCAGUCUCUGAUGAGACUUGCUUCCUGCCAGAAUUCCCACUGGUCUACUGUCACAGUUUCCACAAAGGGCCAAGAUGAAGGAGGGAAACCCAUUUUGAACCCUGUGCUCUUCUGUAUUAUGGGAAAGCUGCUUUCUGCCUCAGGAUGGGGAGAACUGUUAAGUUCUAAACCUUAGUGAUAGGCACGUAAGACCUACUGGAUUCUAACUGCUGAAGGAGAAUGUCGAUUAAGGCAAGAUUUGUUCUGCUGCUGCGAUCAGACAUAUAAAACUUUGCAAAGUUUUGUUGUUCAUUUCCUGUUUAAGAAAAAAAAAAUCACCCUGUCCUAUGAACUCCCAGAAGAUGAGAAGAUUUUCCUCAGAGAAAAUUCAGUUCUGGGAAGAGCCCUCCAUAGAGGUCAUAACCUACAAAAUUCUUGAAGGGAAGUUUCAGUGAGAAGAGGGCAGGGACGGUUGGGAAGCUCUGAGUGCUGCAGUGGGUGACUGGUGUGUGAGCCCCUGCUUUCUUGAGCUGCAGCCUUCAUGGGACGUGUAACACACAUCUGCAGAAAUUUUGGGGGAAAUUAAAAAAAAGAAAAAGAAAAAGAAAGAACAACAUGAAGUUGGGAGAAGUGUAGUGGAGGCGAGGAAAGAGUGGACUUUGAUCAAUGUAUAUGCAGGUAUAACUAUUAAAUAAAAUAUUAAAAAAUAGAUUUCUGUUUCCAGCACAGGGCAGGAAUAGCCUAGCUAAGUAGGAGUUUGCACCAGUAGUUGUAUCUUUCCCAAAUGACUGCUGGAGAAAAUAAGUGUAAGCCAUUGUCAACAGGUUGUGGAAGAGACUGGUUCAGCAUGCUCGCUACCAAAAACUCGCCUUGCUGCGAGGCUGGCCCCAGCCCCAGCCUUCCACAUAAAGCAGGUGCUGUUCGGAUCAGAGGCUGAUCAUCCUUGGCACCCAGAGUGGACAGCCUGCCAAUUGUUGCACAAUCGAGUGGACCCAAGCGACAAAGGACUGCUUAAUUGAAAGUGUAUAAAAUGGUUCCUUAGUUGAACCUUAGUGGGUCACACCCUUAAUCCCAGCACUGGGGAGGCAGAGGCAAAUGACUCUCUGAGUUUGAGGCCAGCCUGUUCUAUAGAGUGAGUUCCAGGACAGCCAGGGUCACACAGAGAAAACUUGUCUCAACCUCCCUCUGCCGUCAAAUAAAAUGGUUUCUUAGGCUUCAUGGACAAUUGAGUAACCCCAUAACCCCAGUUUCCUUUCUUUAUGGUCACUACCUAAUCCUCUGGGAUCAAGCAUAAAAUAUUCUGGUCUCUUACAGUGAAAAGAUUAAACAGCUGAAGUUUAAAUUAAAUCAUUAAUUUGGAGUUUUCUGUGACUACAUUCAUUAUAUUCUCUGUUGGGAUUACGUUCCUGUGGAUUUGACAGAUACAUAAAAGUGACAAUAUGUGCUUAUCAAGGGCAAAUAAAAGUUCUGCACGCUGAAAUCCUGAGUGGUGUUUUUAGUUUUCUGUUUAUAUUAAAACCUUUUAAAAUUGAAAUGAUUUAACGAGGUUUUCUUUUUCUGGAUACCUAGUAGAAGAAAAAAUCAGAAGCAUGAAGCAAUUGAGUAUAUUUACGUGGAGACAGGCCUGAGUGAUGGAAAUUUUUUUUUUUUCUUUCAGUAGGAUUUAGCAGAAAGCAUGUGUCGAAAGUCUUACCUAAAUGGGUCAUAAUUAAAGACGUUGGGGCUUAUUUAUUUUAAUUAGAAAUAUUAAGCUACACUCAGUGGGCUUCAUGGAAAAAAUUUUUUUCUAAUUGCAUAUUUUAUUUUACGUCAAGUAAUAAAUUAAAUUUUUGUGGGUACCAAAAAGACGUUUUAGCUUUAACCACAAUCAUAACUCAUGCUAAAUAUAUUAAUGUUGUGUUGAUUAGCUGGCUAACUGUUUCUGGAGAGUUAACUGGUGAGACCUAUUGUUGUUGAUGUUUUUCGUUUUCCAGUAAUAGUGGCAGAGCAAUCAGUGUCCUUUCUGGAGAAAGGUUCUCGUUUGAGUUGCUCUGAUCAAUACAGGUGACUAGAAGCAGAGGUAAAGAGCAGCGCUUACUUCUGCUGUGUUCUCUUUAAAACUCUGUCAGAUGCUGUUGUUGCGUUGCCCCUCCCGUGGGUUUGACAGAGUUUCUGGGAAAUCCACAGAGGCAACUCUCUCAGCCUCUUACGAAAAGGGGCAGAAUGGAAGGGGGAACUCACUCACAGUUCCUGUCGGGAUUAAACCGGGCAUCCAAGUGGCGCGCCUCAGGUUGACUCUCAGACCUAGCUGCUGUCUCUGGGAUGGAAGAUCCCAUCUCAACAUCCUCCAUGUAUAGCACAGAACAAUCCUUGUUACCCAUCUCGUUUUCUCGCCAAAGAGAAUCUGUAGAACAAAGCAAUUUAGACUACUCAAGUACAUUGGCCAUUCCCAGUUGUCUUUGACAGUUCUUAAUUAGAGUAAAAACGGACACAGUCAGCAGUAGGAACAGUUUUUCGGGACAUUUGGGAAUUUGUACAAAUAUACUUUAGAGG